rnacentral:rRNA from 1 species
GACGAACGCUGGCGGCGUGCUUAACACAUGCAAGUCGUACGGUAAGGCCCUUUCGGGGGUACACGAGUGGCGAACGGGUGAGUAACACGUGAGUAACCUGCCCACAACUUUGGGAUAACGCUAGUAAACUAGUGCUAAUACUGGAUAUGUGCCCCUGCUGCAUGGUGGGUGUUGGAAAGCUCCGGCGGUUGUGGAUGGACUCGCGGCCUAUCAGCUUGUUGGUGGGGUAGUGGCCUACCAAGGCGGCGACGGGUAGCCGGCCUGAGAGGGUGACCGGCCACAUUGGGACUGAGAUACGGACCAGACUCCUACGGGAGGCAGCAGUGGGGAAUAUUGCACAAUGGGCGCAAGCCUGAUGCAGCAACGCCGCGUGCGGGAGGACGGCCUUCGGGUUGUAAACCGCUUUCAGCAGGGACGAAGCUUUUUGUGACGGUACCUGCAGAAGAAGCACCGGCUAACUACGUG